rnacentral:sRNA from 1 species
UUAAGCCCCUCCCCCUUGUGGGGAGG